rnacentral:rRNA from 1 species
AGUUAAACGACUAAGCGUACACGGUGAAUGCCACGGCGGUCAGAAGGCGAUGAAGAGGCGUGCUAAUGCUGCGAUAGCGCCGGUAGGUGAUAUGACGCGCAACCGGCGAUACCCGAAUGGGAAGCCAGUGAUUCGUCACUAUCAUUGUUAACUGAAUCCAUAUAGGUUGUAAAGGGCGAACCGGGAACUGAAACAUCUAAGUACCCGAGGAAAAGAAAUCAACCGAGAUUUAGUAGCGGCGAGCGAACGGGGAGGAGCCCAGAGCCUGAAUCAGCAUGUGUGUUAGUGGAAGUGUGCGGAAGGCGCGUACAGGUACGACGGCCGUACACAAAAGCGCAUAUUGCUUAUUGAGAGGAAACGAUGAGUAGGGCAGGACACGUGGUAUCCUGUCUGAAUAUGGGGACCAUCCUCCAGGCUAAAUACUCCUGACGACCGAUGGUGAACCGGUACCGUGAGGGAAAGGCGAAAAGAACCCGGCGAGGGAGUGAAAGAACCUGAAACCGUGUACGUACACCAACAGUGGGAACUGCGUUUGCCUGUGUGACUGCGUACCGCGCUGUAUAAUGGGUCAGCGACAUAUUCUGUAGCAGGUUAACCGAAUAUAUAGAGAGGCCGGAGGCUCAAGUCUUAGUAGACGUUAAGUUUGGGGGUAUGAGCCGAAACCCAGUGAUCUAGCCAUGGGCAGGUUGAAGGUUGGGUAACGCAACUGGAGGACCGAACCGACUAAUAUUUGAAAAAAUUGGCAGAUGACCUGGCGCAGGGUGAAAGGCCAAUCAAACCGGGGAGAUGCUGGUUCUCCCGAAAGCUUUAUUUAGGUAGCGCCUCGUGAACUCAUCUCCGGGGGUAGGCACUGUUUCGGCUGGGGGCCAUCCCGGCUUACCAACCGAUACAAACUGCGAAUACCGGAGAAUAUUAUCACGAGGAGACACACGGCGAGUACUAACGUCACCGUCGUGAAGAAAGCCAGCUUAGACCGCCAGCUAGGUCCCAAAAGUCAUAGUUAAGUGGGAAACGAUGUGGGAAGAGCCCAGACAGCAGGAUGGCUGGCUUAGAAGCAGCCAUCAUUUAAAGAAAACGUAACUCACUGGUCGGAGGAAGUCGGCCUGCGCGAGGAAAGAUGUAACAGGGCUAAACCAUGCACCGAAGCUGCGGCAGCGGCAACUUAUGCGUUGUUGGGUGAGGGAGGCGUUCUGUAGCCUGUGAAGGUGGCCUGUAUGAGGUUGCUGGAAGGUAUCAGAGAAGUGCGAAUACUGACAUAAGUAACGAUAAAGCGGGUGAAAAGCGCUCGCCGGAAUAGGGUUCCUGUCAACGUUAAUCGGGGCGGGGUGAGUCGACUAAAGGCGAGGCCGAAGGCGUAGUCGAUGGGAAGCAGGUUGCUAUUGUGCGGUGUUACUGCGAGAAGGGGGACGGAAGGCUAUGUUGGCCGGGCGACGGUUGUCCCGGUUUAAGCGAUGUGAGUGUGUGUUCACGAGGUAAAUCCGAGUUUCACUUUAACACUGAGGCGUGAUGACGAGGGCACUACGGUGCUGAAACAGCAAAUACCCUACUUCCGAGGAAAAACACCUCUAAGCAUCAGGUAACAUCAAAUCGUACUAAACCGACACAGGUGGUCAGGUAGAGAAUACCAAAGGCGCUUGAGAGAACUCGGGUGAAGGAACUGGGCAAAAAUGGUGCCCGUAACUUCGGGAGAAGGCACUGACAUGUAGGUAGUGAUUUACUCAUGGAGCUGAAGUCGUCGAAGAUACGCAACUGGCUGCAACUGUUUAUUAAAAACACAGCACUGUGCAAACACGAAAGUGGACGUAUACGGUGUGACGCCUGCCGGAAGGUUGGUGAUGGGGUCAGCGCAAGCGAAGCUCCUGAUCGAAGCGGUAAAGCGGCGGCCAGCCAACUAUAACGGUCCUAAGGUAGCGAAAUUUCGCUUGUCGGGUAGUUCCGACACGAAUGGCGUAAUGAUGGCGGCUGUCUCCACCCGAGACUCCAGUGAAAUUGGCUCUACGCUGUGAAGAUGCAGUGUACCCGCGGCAAGACGGAAGAACCCCGUGAACCUUUACUAUAGCGACUGAACAUUGAGCCUUGAUGUGUAGGAUAGGUGGGAGGCUUUUGAAGUGUGGACGCCAGUCUGCAGCCAGGGCAAACAGCAAUACCAGCAAUGUUUGAUGUUCUAACGUGAGACCCACGUGAUCCGGGUUGCGAGGACAGUGUCUGGUGGGUAGUUUGACUGGGGCGGUCUCCUCCUAAAGAGUAACGGAGGAGCACGAAGGUUAGCUAUCGAGGGUCGGACAUCAGGAGGUUGGUGCAAUGGCAUAAGCCAGCUUGACUGCGAGCGUGACGGCGAGCAGGUGCUGCUUUGGGUCGCCGUGAUCCGGUGGUUCUGAAUGGAAGGGCCAUCGCUCAGGGUUGAGGUUGGGGUUGGGCGGGGGUUUGGCGUGGAUGGGAUCAGCACCGAUAAUAAAGCUCAUCACAUCCUGGGGCUGAAGUGGUCCCAAGGUAUGGCUGUUCGCCAUUUAAAAGUGGUACGAAGCUGGGUUUAGAACGUCGGUUCGGUCCCCUAUCUACCGUGGGCGCUGGAGAACUGAGGGGAGCUGCUCCUAGUACGAAGAGGACGGGUGGACAUCACUGGUGUUCGGAGUUGUCAUGCCAAUGGCACUGCCCGGUAGCUAAAUGCGGAAGAAGAUAAGAGAUUAACGAAGCAUCUAAGCACGAAACUUGCCCCGAGAUGAGUUCUCCUGAGACUUAGAGUCUCCUGAAAGGGAACGUUGAGAAGACGACGACGUUGAUAGGCCGGGUAUUGUAGCGCAGCGAUGCGUUGGCUUAACGGUACUAAUGAACCGUGAGGCUUAACCUU